rnacentral:lncRNA from 1 species
GGGGUCAUCCAUAAUUGUCAACCAUUUUCCAAAGUGUACAAAACGUACACUUGGGGGAGGGGGUUAAAAAAUCAACAUUUUUACCGUACGCUUUUUUUUUAUUUCCGGAAUUUAUAUCGUUUCCGUAGGGAAAGUCGAUUUAUAAAAUCGAGAAUUGGCUUGGGUGUGUUUCUCUUCUUAUUUCUUCUUUAUUAUUUUCACUUGAUGAUAUUGAUUUCGAUAUCAUAAUUCUACUCAAUCGGGAUUGAACGAUUAAAAGAUCAAAUCAUAUGAAAACUAAAUCUUUCAAAAAUGUAACUAGUAAAAUUAUUUAAAACAAAAAGUUUGCAAGCAUUUCUCAGUACCCCCGAUUGUCAAUUUCACCUGCUUUAUUAUUGAUCGUUAUCGUUUCACUCUGUUUAAUAAACAAAACUGAUGGAAACACUAAAUUCUUUGAAUGUUUUGAUUUUGACAAGACGCCAUUUUGUGAAAAGAUUUUAAACUGGUCCUUCGAUUAAUUUCCUUGUAAUGCAUUCCAAAAUAGUAAACCAGUAAACCGGAAGUAAACUUAUUUUUCUUAGUAUAAGCCUCCUUUAAUUAGGAGCACCUCCAUAUGAAGUUUAACCUUAACUUAAAAAAUAUCCAAUAUAUGUACACGUUACAGUAUAUAUACAUAAACGAUAAUAGUGCCAUGAAUGGCAUAUUUACAGGGACCUUUUUAAAUAGAAAUACAGGCGGGAAAUUUAAAAACUUAAAAUGUUUUAAAACAUUACACUUUUAUUGAUUGCUGUCUUGAGCUCUGAUUCCAUCAACAACUGUCAGUCCAUACUUUACCAAUGCAAUAUAACCAUGCAUUUCCCUUUCUUUGAUUCUUAGCAUAGUUUAUGUGCCCUUUUGUUAAUCUUUUGCAUGCUCUAGGUGCCCCUUUUUUAUUGGAGUUACCAUUCCCACUGUGUGAUAGGGGAAACACUAAUCUUUGUACUCUUUAUUCUAACAAAACACAAGCAUCACAGAUAGAUGUCAUCAAAUAAAACAGUCAGAUAUGUUUUAGUUUUUUUUCAAUGCAAAUUUCUAUAUUAAACUAAAAUAUAUAAUAACAGGAUCUUCUUUUUAUUAAGAAUGAUUGAUUCUUCUCUUGAAAUCUGAAAAUGGUUGAUGUACACUUUUUGAGGGAGGGUGGGGGGUCUGAAAAAGUGUACGUUUUGUACACUUUGGAAAAUGGUUGACAAUUAUGGAUGACCCCUAAA